AUAAAAGCGAAGAAAGGACACAAGUAGUGACUUAUCUCCCUGUUUUAAGAGAGCUGAUGGUGGGUGCAAAUCAGUACACAGAUAAGCAUGAAUUACACUCCUGGAGCUUCUUUUUCUCAAAAUUUCCUUUGAGAAAAAGACGGUCGUGCACGGAUCGUUAUCCAAAUGAGUGGUGAGUGUUUUUGCUCACAAUUAGGGUGGUACCGCGAUACAUUCGUCCCUGCU
rnacentral:ncRNA from 1 species